UACAUUUCGAGUGCAUGGUCAUAGAAUAUGCCAAAGGCGAUAUUAGGAAACUGCUUCGACCAACAUUGACCUAUGGUAAAGAGAGAGUCCGGUGCUGAACGAAUCACAAAAAACCAGACUACAAGGAUCAUGACUGAUAGCUAAAGUAGAGGUUUUCUUUCAAGUUGGCGCUAUAAUGUAUUUAACUGGAAUUCACAGUAGUGACCGAAGGCUUUAAUUCGAGAAGAAGAACAUAUUCUUUCCGAAAAUACAGCGACAUUUGGUUUGUAAUAUGGAAGUCAGCAGGAACUGCGCGCUUGCGUUUGCGCAGUACAGGGAGUCAGUGUGGAACACAUCUGCAAGU